UUUCCAAAAUAGACCCCAAUAUUCUGCCUUUACCCCGGAGGAUGUAGAUGUACCUUCUCUCAGGCCGAUGACCUCAGGCCUCCACGGUCCCUGGAGCUCUAGGAAAGGCGAGCGCGAUCUCGCGCCCACACCCAGUGCUCUGGGUCAUAAGCCUGGAUCUGGAAAAACAAACGCCCUUUGAGAAGACGGGGACUCGCCAGGAUACCCCUCUCUCCCCUCGUCCAGCCUCCAGCCCACCCAAUUCCUCCCCACCUCCUCCACCUCCCCAGGCCCCACUCACCUCCUCCAACUCCUCCGGGGAAACCCAAGCCCUGCCGCUCAUGGAACAGAAGAACUGGAACCGAAGUUUCUGGAACAGGGCUAUCUGAGAGCGGUUCUUCCUGGCCCUCGGGUUCAUGUAACGGCAUAACUGGAACCGACGCUUACGGAGCAAGGGUAUGCGAGAGCGGGUCUUCCCAUACAGGAAGUAGAAGAUGUUUUGUUUGGAGUCCUCGUCGUCCUCCUCCAUGUCAUUGGCCAGGUAGCUGAGGACAGAAAUCAGGUUGCUGCUCAGGGGCACCACCAGGAGAGACCUCCGGCUGAGGUCAGCUUCCCAGAGAGGAAGAGUAAAGAGGACAAAUAGGUGAAAGAAUAAAUGAAAGGCUGGAAUCCCACUUCCCCCGCUGUCCCAGGGCAUUGGAUAUUGACGGAUAGGAGGCAGCAAACCACUCACAGAGCCAGGAAGAAAUGAAUGCGUUGGUAUAGCCAGGAGGGGAAGCCGGCCCGGCUGAAAUAUGCUAUGACCAUAGCCAGGAGAUACUGAUGGAGAGAAAGGAACACAGAGGGAGAGGUCACAUCUUGGAAGAGGAAGAUUGUGGAGAGGGGGAAUGAGGGUCUGGGGAGGGGCUGCCCAUCAGAGAAGGGACCUCAGUGUUGGGGUGACUGUACUCAUUUGGAAAUUGCGGGAUGGAGGGGUAUUCGAAGGUCGGAUGCAAAUCCGAGAAGCCAGAGGAAGGGUUUUGGGUGAUGCUCCCAGGAUGGUGGGCUCCGAUGGGAUCUUUGGAGGGGGUGUGUCUAGGUCGGCUGGUGUCAGGAGGGUCUUUUGUGUGCCAGGCAGAGAACUGUCCCGAAGAGCUGAGAGUAGAGGGGCCAGGAGCUUCAGGGCUGCGGCCAGACUGUGGCCCAGAGCUCAGAUCCCAAAGGACCCAUAGGAGAGGCAGGGGCCACUCAUUCACUCUGCAAGAGACCAGCAGAAUCCUGAGGGAGAUGCUGACAAAUCAUAAAAAGACCAAGAAUAGCCGGGAGUGGCGGCUCAAGCCUGUGAUCCCAGUACUUUGAGAGGUGGAGACAGGAGGAUCAUGUGAGCCCAACAGUUGGAGAACAACCUGGGCAACAUAGUGAGACCCUGUUUCUACAAACAUUUCAAAAAUUAGUUGAGCAUGGUGGCAUGUGCCUAGUCCCAGCUCCUCAGGAGGCUGAGGAAAGAAGAUUGCUUGAGCCUAGGAAUUAGAGGCUGCAAUGAGCUAUGAUCAUGCCACUGCACUCCAUCCUGGGGAGCAGAGCUAGACUCUGUCUCACAAAAAAAAAUUUGUGGGUGCCAAGACUCAAGACCAUGGGAGCUGGUCGGGCACAGUGGCUGACGUCUAUAAUCUCAGCACUUUGGGAGGCCAAGGCGGGUGGAUCGCCUGAGGUCAGGUGUUCAGGACCAACCUGGCCAACAUGGCAAAACCCCGUUUCUACUAAAAACACAAAAAUUAGCCAGGCGUGGUGGUUCAUGUCUGUAAUCCCAGCUGCUUGGAGGCUGAGGCAGGAGAAUCGCUUGAACCCGGGAGGCAUCGGCUGCAGUGAGUCAAGAUCGAGACACUGCCCUCCAGCCUGGGCAACAGAGCAAGACUCUGUCUCACAAAAAA
rnacentral:lncRNA from 1 species